rnacentral:lncRNA from 1 species
AUUGACUUGACAUAUCAACAAUAUAAGGAUUCGGACCAAAACGUGGAAAUAUCUCGGCAAAUCCUCGCAUUUCCAAAUUUCUAAGCCUCAUCCUUAUAUCGUUGAUACGUCAAGUCAACGCACUAUUAUUGUCUAUGUAUCAGAAUCAGACGUUUUAUUAUUUUAAUCCAUUAAAGUAUGAAUGUCAUGAAUAUACAUGUCUCACCAAGGUCCACUCGAGAGAAUUGUUGGAUAAGGGGGAGCUAACUGUUAUGUGCUGGAACCAAGGAACAGGGGGGGGUCAGUCUAUCGCUAGACUUAAUGUUCUGAUAGGCAUAGAUAAAAC